rnacentral:rRNA from 1 species
ACGCGCCCGGAACGCGUCGCUCCACGAGGACCUGUCUGCGAGUCGGGCUGUUUGGGAAUGCAGCCCUAAGCGGGAGGUAAAUUCCUUCCAAGGCUAAAUAUUGGCAAGAGACCGAUAGCGAACAAGUACCGCGAGGGAAAGAUGAAAAGGACUUUGAAAAGAGAGUUAAAAAGUGCUUGAAAUUGCUGGGAGGGAAGCGAAUGGAAGCUGCGGGUGCGCCUCGGUUGGAUGUGGAACGGUUUUCACUGGUCCGCCGCUCAACGCGAGGCGCUGGUCAGCGUGGGCCGCGGCGCCGGGACAAAAUCAGGGAUCCGUUUCCUGCCUAUGCCGGUGUCGCGGCCGAGGAACGAAGCGCGCGCCUUCUGGCGUGGGUCCGCCCAACUGCGCGCUCGAGACGCUGGCGUAUUGAGCUCUUCAUCCGACCCGUCUUGAAACACGGACCAAGGAGUCUAACAUGUAUGCGAGCCGGUGGGCGGCAAACCCAUUGAGGCGCAAGUAAACUGACAGGUGGGACCCCGACUUCGAGGGAGGGAGCACCAUCGACCGACCGUGAUCUUCUGUGAAAGGUUUGAGUGUGAGCAUGCCUGUUGGGACCCGAAAGAUGGUGAACUAUGCCUGAGCAGGGCGAAGCCAGAGGAAACUCUGGUGGAGGCUCGUAGCGAUACUGACGUGCAAAUCGUUCGUCAGACUUGGGUAUAGGGGCGAAAGACUAAUCGAACCAUCUAGUAGCUGGUUCCCUCCGAAGUU